GCGCAUCUCAACCAGUUGAUGGUGCAACUUUUAGGAAGGCAAACAACAGGAUACUUUGGUAGUUGUACUUGCACAUCCGUGUAAGAUACUCCCCGACAGGAAACAACAACCUGCGAGUCAGGAGGCGCCUCUUCUUUGGUUGGCAUCCAGAUUGCUCCCAUCUGCCUGGCGUAAACCCGGUGCGCGCUGCCGCCUCUUACCAAGACUAAUUUAAGACAGCGCUUUGGAACCGUGUGCCGUCUGAGUUGUGGCUCUGUGCUGUGAAUGAACUCGGUGUGCUGCUUAGAUAUUCCACGGAGCGUUUGUUUCAGAAACACGGCAACAAACGUGGUUCGUUUCUUUUCUCCGAGAGGACGCUGAAGCCGGAUCGCAGCAUGGAUACAGCCAGCGACUCCAGCGCAGAGAGUAAGCCGGUGUGUCAGUGUGCCCCCAAGUCUGUGGUCCAGCGGUGGCUGCCAGGUUUUCCCAUCGUUCUGUGCCUGCUGAUGUCCCUGAGCUCCAUCAGCGUGUGUCUCCUGAUGAGCUUUAAGACCUACCACCUGGAGAACCGGCUGCAGAUGGAGAUGGACAAAGCGUCCAUCUUCCAGCCCUCACACAGAGCUUUUCUAAACGGGGAUGGGACCCUAAUAUCAGAGCUGAGCACCCCCAUAGGGAAGCUUAUCGAUGAGAAAGUUGGGGCUCUGUUGCCGAAGGUUCGCACAGCAAGGGAUGUUGGCCAGGAGUGCUCCUGUCCUCCAGGGCCUCCAGGAAAACGUGGACGGAUGGGAAGAAGGGGAGAACCCGGGCCUCCUGUAAGUAUACCUCAUCCAGGUAGUAUUAACUUGCUUAUUGAACACAGAGGUUUGGACAUUAACACAAUACCUAACUGUACUCUAUAG
ensembl:lncRNA